rnacentral:rRNA from 1 species
GACGAACCGUGCGAACGUUAUUCGGAAUCACUGGGCUUAAAGGGCGCGUAGGCGGGCCGCCAAGUCAGAGGUGAAAGCCCCAGCUCAACUGGGGAAGUGCCUUUGAUACUGGCGGUCUCGAGGGAGAUAGGGGCGUGCGGAACUUCCGGUGGAGCGGUGAAAUGCGUAGAUAUCGGAAGGAACACCGGUGGCGAAAGCGGCGCGCUGGAUCUCUUCUGACGCUGAGGCGCGAAAGCCAGGGGAGCGAACGGG